rnacentral:lncRNA from 1 species
UGAACAUCUGGAACUGCUCAGUUAUCUGACCACAGGAGAAAUGAAUUACAUAAUAAGAAGUAAAAGGAAGUAUUCUGCCAUGUUUGUGUUGCCAACACUGGACCAUGCUGAGCAGACCUGGAGAGCAUUUAUUUCUAAGCAAAGUCAGCAAUAUACGAAAGAAGAAAUGUAUAAAGUUUUAAAAAGCCCAGCUGAAAGCUGCAUCAAUGAAAUAUAAACCCAGCACAAAGAAGUCCGGCUUCCUUCCUAGGUGGCCUUCGUCAGAAGUUGGGGACAUCUCCCUGCAACUGAGCUGGAGCAGAGUCUAAUUCAGGACCCGCUGUGGGAUGGACUGUCUAUCUGAGACCCUGCCUAUUCUCUUCACGUUGUAUUUCAGUCACUCAGCUUCUGGGCUGGCUAUUUUGCCAUAUAACUGUACUAUUUUUUAACAUGUAUUAUCGCCAUGUGUCUAUAUCAUUAUUUUGUAAAAUUUCGUUACUUCAGUUGACUCACUUUUUAGCCUAAAUUCAUUUAGAAAGGACAAUUUAUAUCACUGUCACAACAUCAACUGUCAUAAAUAGAAG